rnacentral:rRNA from 1 species
CCUACGGGUGACAGCAGUGGGGAAUAUUGCGCAAUGGGCGAAAGCCUGACGCAGCGACGCCGCGUGAGGGAUGAAGGUCUUCAGAUCGUAAACCUCUGUCAGCAGGGAAGAACGGUCACUGUGCUAAUCAGCAGUGAAUUGACGGUACCUGCAAAGGAAGCACCGGCUAACUCCGUGCCAGCAGCCGCGGUAAUACGGAGGGUGCGAGCGUUAAUCGGAAUUACUGGGCGUAAAGCGCUCGUAGGCGGUAUGUCAAGUCAAGGGUGAAAUCCCCGCGCUCAACGUGGGAACUGCCUUUGAAAUGGGCAAACUGGAGUGUGUGAGAGGAUAGGGGAAGUCCAGGUGUAGGAGGG